GACAGAGGGUGCAAACGUUGUUCGGAAUUACUGGGCGUAAAGCGCGUGUAGGCUGCUUGGAAAGUCGGAUGUGAAAGCCCUGGGCUCAACCUAGGAAGUGCAUUCGAAACUUCCAAGCUGGAGUGCUGGAGAGGAAGGCGGAAUUCUCGGUGUAGAGGUGAAAUUCGUAGAUAUCGAGAGGAACACCGGUGGCGAAGGCGGCCUUCUGGACAGCUACUGACGCUGAGACGCGAAAGCGUGGGGAGCAAACAGG
rnacentral:rRNA from 1 species